rfam:Oryza sativa (indica cultivar-group) chromosome 5, whole genome shotgun sequence.
AAUAAGUGCAGCCAUGAGUUUCCGCUCCCAACUUUAAUCGUCCGUCUUAUUUGAAAUUUUUUUAUGAUUAGUAUUUUUGUUGUUAUGAUAUGAUAAAACAUGAAUAGUACUUUACUCGUGGCUUAUUUUUUAAAGUUUUUUCAAAAUUUUUUAAAAUAAAACGAACGAUUAAAGUUGGACACGGAAACUCAUGGCUGCACUUAUU